UUGACCUCAAAUCAGGUAGGACUACCCGCUGAACUUAAGCAUAUCAAUAAGCGGAGGAAAAGAAACNAACAAGGANNCC
rnacentral:rRNA from 1 species